rnacentral:lncRNA from 1 species
AUGAGGAUUCUUUCUAAGAUCCCAGAGAGAUUCAGAAGGAUGAAGAUAAUUGUGGACUGGAGAAUCAGUUUCAACGAACUAGAUUCAGCUAGAAAUCGGGCUGCAUAUGUUCAGUUUUGGGUUGGACUAGUGAUGUGCAUUGAAUUAGCAGGGGAGCAUGGCUUGAAGAUAACAAGGUUCGGUCAUGGCAUGAAGGGAAUUAGAGAUUGGUUCAAGCAUGAAGUUUAA